UAUGACCUAGGGGGGCAGCAGUGGGGGAUAUUGCACAAUGGGGGAAACCCUGAUGCAGCGACGCCGCGUGGGUGAAGAAGCGCCUCGGCGCGUAAAGCCCUGUCAGCAGGGAAGAAAAUGACGGUACCUGAAGAAGAAGCCCCGGCUAACUACGUGCCAGCAGCCGCGGUAAUACGUAGGGGGCAAGCGUUAUCCGGAUUUACUGGGUGUAAAGGGGGCGCAGACGGCGAUGCAAGCCAGGAGUGAAAGCCCGGGGCCCAACCCCGGGACUGCUCUUGGAACUGCGUGGCUAGAGUGCAGGAGGG
rnacentral:rRNA from 1 species